UCGGGGGUAGAGCACUGUUAUGGCUAGGGGGUCAUGGCGACUUACCAAACCAUUGCAAACUCCGAAUACUGAGAAAUGCAAUUACGGGAGACAGACCAUGGGUGCUAACGUCCGUGGUCAAGAGGGAAACAACCCAGACCGACAGCUAAGGUCCCAAAUGACGUGCUAAGUGGAAAACGAAGUGGGAAGGCAUAGACAGCCAGGAUGUUGGCUUAGAAGCAGCCAUCAUUUAAAGAAAGCGUAAUAGCUCACUGAUCGAGUCGUCCUGCGCGGAAGAUGUAACGGGGCUAAGCACGUAACCGAAGCUUCGGAUGCCCUAAUUUAUUAGGUGCAUGGUAGGAGAGCGUUCUGUAGGCCUGCGAAGGUAUUCUGUGAGGAGUGCUGGAGGUAUCAGAAGUGCGAAUGCUGACAUGAGUAGCGUUAAAGGGGGUGAAAAGCCCCCUCGCCGAAAGCGCAAGGUUUCCUACGCAACGUUCAUCGGCGUAGGGUGAGUCGGCCCCUAAGGCGAGGCAGAGAUGCGUAGCUGAUGGGAAACAGGUCAAUAUUCCUGUACCGAUGUGUAGUGCGAUGUGGGGACGGAGAAGGUUAACUCGGCCGGGUGUUGGAUGUCCCGGUUCAAGCGUGUAGGUUGGUUCUUUAGGCAAAUCCGGAGAGCUAAGACUGAGACGUGAUAACGAGCGUACUUGUACGUGAAGUGAUUGAUACCAUGCUUCCAAGAAAAGCCACUAAGCUUCAGUUGUAUAGAGACCGUACCGCAAACCGACACAGGUGGGCAGGAUGAGAAUUCUAAGGCGCUUGAGAGAACCCGGGAGAAGGAACUCGGCAAAUUAGCACCGUAACUUCGGGAGAAGGUGCGCCCCGGUAACGUGUAUAGACUUGCUCUAGAAGCGUGAUGGGGUUGCAGUGAAAAGGUGGCUGCGACUGUUUAAUAAAAACACAGCACUCUGCAAACACGAAAGUGGACGUAUAGGGUGUGACGCCUGCCCGGUGCUGGAAGAUUAAAUGAUGGGGUGCAAGCUCUUGACUGAAGUCCCAGUAAACGGCGGCCGUAACAAUAACGGUCCUAAGGUAGCGAAAUUCCUUGUCGGGUAAGUUCCGACCCGCACGAAUGGCGUAACGAUGGCGGCGCUGUCUCCACCCGAGACUCAGUGAAAUUGAAAUCGCUGUGAAGAUGCAGUGUAUCCGCGGCUAGACGGAAAGACCCCGUGAACCUUUACUAUAGCUUUGCACUGGACUUUGAGCUUGCUUGUGUAGGAUAGGUGGGAGGCUUUGAAGCGGUGCCGCUAGGUGUCGUGGAGCCAACGUUGAAAUACCACCCUGGUGUGUUUGAGGUUCUAACCU
rnacentral:rRNA from 1 species